rnacentral:misc_RNA from 1 species
GAUGAAGAACGCAGCGAAAUGCGAUACGUAAUGUGAAUUGCAGAAUUCAGUGAAUCAUCGAGUCUUUGAACGCACAUUGUGCCCCCUGGUAUUCCGGGGGGCAUGCCUGUCCGAGCGUCAUUGCUGCCCUCAAGCACGGCUUGUGUGUUGGGCCUCCGUCCUCCUCCCGGGGGACGGGCCCGAAAGGCAGCGGCGGCACCGCGUCCGGUCCUCGAGCGUAUGGGGCUUCGUCACCCGCUCUUGUAGGCCCGGCCGGCGCUUGCCGACACAUCAAUCUUUUUUCCAGGUUGACCUCGGAUCAGGUAGGGAUACCCGCUGAACUUAAGCAUAUCAAUAAGCGGAGGA